CCUACGGGUGGCAGCAGUGAGGAAUAUUGGUCAAUGGGCGAGAGCCUGAACCAGCCAAGUCGCGUGAAGGAUGACGGCCCUACGGGUUGUAAACUUCUUUUGUCCGAGAGCAAUUGUGUCCACGCGUGUGCUUAGCGAGAGUACCUGAAGAAAAAGCAUCGGCUAACUCCGUCCCAGCAGCCGGGGUAAUACGGAGGAUGCGAGCUUUCUCCGGAUUUAUUGGGUUUAAAGGGUGCGUAGGCGGAAUAUCAAGUCAGGGGGAAAAAUUCGGGGCUCAACCCCGUCGUGCCGUUGAAACUGAUGUUCUUGAGUGGGCGAGAAGUAGGCGGAAUGCGUGGUGUAGCGGUGAAAUGCAUAGAGAUCACGCAGAACUCCGAUUGCGAAGGCAGCAUACCGGCGCCCAACUGACGCUGAAGCACGAAAGCGUGGGUAUCGAACAGGAUUAGAUACCCGAGUAGUC
rnacentral:rRNA from 1 species